AACCGGAUUAGAUACCCUGGUAGUCCACGCCGUAAACGAUGUCGACUUGGAGGCUGUUUCCUUGAGAAGUGGCUUCCGGAGCUAACGCGUUAAGUCGACCGCCUGGGGAGUACGGCCGCAAGGUUAAAACUCAAAUGAAUUGACGGGGGCCCGCACAAGCGGUGGAGCAUGUGGUUUAAUUCGAUGCAACGCGAAGAACCUUACCUACUCUUGACAUCCAGAGAACUUUCCAGAGAUGGAUUGGUGCCUUCGGGAACUCUGAGACAGGUGCUGCAUGGCUGUCGUCAGCUCGUGUUGUGAAAUGUUGGGUUAAGUCCCGCAACGAGCGCAACCCUUAUCCUUUGUUGCCAGCGAUUCGGUCGGGAACUCAAAGGAGACUGCCGGUGAUAAACCGGAGGAAGGUGUGGAUGACGUCAAGUCAUCAUGGCCCUUACGAGUAGGGCUACACACGUGCUACAAUGGCGCAUACAAAGAGAAGCGACCUCGCGAGAGCAAGCGGACCUCAUAAAGUGCGUCGUAGUCCGGAUCGGAGUCUGCAACUCGACUCCGUGAAGUCGGAAUCGCUAGUAAUCGUGGAUCAGAAUGCCACGGUGAAUACGUUCCCGGGCCUUGUACACACCGCCCGUCACACCAUGGGAGUGGGUUGCAAAAGAAGUAGGUAGCUUAACCUUCGGGAGGGCGCUUACCACUUUGUGAUUCAUGACUGGGGUGAAGUCGUAACAAGGUAAC
rnacentral:rRNA from 1 species